rnacentral:rRNA from 1 species
AACGCGAAGAACCUUACCAGGGCCUGACAUCCUACUAACGAGGCAGAGAUGCGUUAGGUGCCCUUCGGGGAAAGUAGAGACAGGUGGUGUAUGGUUGUCGUCAGCUCGUGUCGUGAGAUGUUGGGUUAAGUCCCGCAACGAGCGCAACCCCUAUGUUCAGUAGCCAGCAGGUAAGGCUGGGCACUCUGGACAGACUGCCGGGGAUAACCCGGAGGAAGGCGGGGAUGACGUCAAAUCAUCAUGCCCCUUACGGCCUGGGCUACACACGUGCUACAAUGGCGUCAACAAAGGGAAGCAAGAGGGUGACCUUGAGCGAAUCUCAAAAAUAACGUCCCAGUUCGGACUGUAGUCUGCAACCCGACUACACGAAGCUGGAAUCGCUAGUAAUCGCGAAUCAGCAUGUCGCGGUGAAUACGUUCCCGGGUCUUGUACACACCG